rnacentral:tRNA from 1 species
CUCCCCGUAGCUCAGCUGGAUAGAGCAACGGCCUUCUAAGCCGUGGGCCACAGGUUCGAAUCCUGUCGGGGAGGCCA